CUCUCUAUCUUUCUCAUAUGCUUGUUGUCUGAAAAUAUUUGUGAGAGUUGAGGGAGUUCGAUUCACUGAGUUGGAGAGCGUGAGAGGGUUUUGUUGAUGUCAUAAGAAGGAUGAGUUUCGAGUGCGUGAGAUUGCCAUUGUUGGGGAAGGUGGAGUUCGUAAGGUGAGAGAGAUGAGAAGAAGACGAGCUUCUGUUUUGCUUUUUUUCGUUUCCAUUUUUCUGUUUUCUUUUUUUUAAUUUUUUUAAUUUUUUUAAUUUUUUUAAUUUUUUUUUAAUUUGUUUUUUAACAGAAAAAAAAAAACAUAAAAAUGUUUAUAUGUUUUUUUUUUGUUUUUUUUGUUUUAGCCGGUUCAUAUAUUUAAGGUAGUAUUUCACUAGCAUAUGAUCUUGAGUGGUCUGGUGGAGAGGAGUGAUUUCAUGGUCUUGAGUGGGGUGGGUUCAAUACCCGGAUUUGUUGCUUUGGUUUUCCAACAUUUUUUGAUCUUUCCAUAUUUUUCUAGCCUUACCAUUUAACUAACAUGUUUCUAUCAUUUAUUCAUUUUUAUUGUUUUAUUUUUAAUAUGACUUAUGUGAUUAUUCAUUUUUUUUAGGAUCUAUGUGAAUUA
rnacentral:lncRNA from 1 species